rnacentral:sRNA from 1 species
UCGUCCGAGAGGGACCGCACGCGAAGA